GGAAAAUCGCAUUUUAAACGAUAAAGGUGUAAAAUGGUAGCACUUUAAACCUUGGUAUUCAAAAACUCACACAAACUAACUUACUUCUUUACCAAGCAAAAAUAUGACCGGUACUGUUCAUCCGUUUGUGAAAAAGUACGAGGUGUUAGUUGUUUUUUUAAUUAAUAAAUAAAAAAAAAUUAAAUAAUUAAAAAUUAAAAUUAAUUUAAAAAAUCAGAAAUAAUUGCAAAAAACUAAAGAAACAAAACUCAAAAAAUCAAACUUCAAAAAGAAAUGAAUAAAAUUUUAAAUUUAUUAAUAAUUUAAAAUAAAAUAAAAAAAUCAAAAAUAAAUUAAUAAUAUUUUAAAUUAAAUAAUAUUUUUUUUUAAAAAAGUAAAAAAUUCUUAAAAAAUUCUUAAAAAAAAUUCAAAAAAUAAAAAAAAUAAAGAAAUAAAUUAAUUAAUAAAAAUUCAAUAAAAAAUUCAAAAUUAAAAGUAACAAAAAUAAAAAAAGUAAAUAAAUUCAGCAAAUGUUAGUGGAAACCAUGAAUGUAAGAAGGUAGCACUUUGGUGGUGAUUUCAUAUGUGACAGUUUUCCGAUAUAUUUAUAAGUUCUCAACAUAUUGUUGGUUCGUUGGUGGUGAUUUCCGAUAUAACAUCUUUGAUGGUGAUGAGUUUGAAGGAUGAUAUGUCAAAAUCCAUUAACAUCAAGGGUUAUAUUUUGAAAAUAGUUACUAUUAAUAUAUUGGAAAUCGCUGCAUAUAAAAAAUAUUUUGAAAAUUUUCAGUUGUAUGUUAACUUUAGGGCUUUGUUUACUUAUUUUGAUUUUUUAAUUUUUUUAAUUUAUAAUUAAAUUUUUAGUUUAUUAAUUUUUGAGUUUUUAAAAUUUAUUUUAAUUUUUAAAAUAUCAAAUUUAAUAAUUUUUAUUAAUAAAUUUAGAUUUUUAAUCAUUUUGUUUUUUUUUUAAAUAUUUAAAAUUAUAUAUAAUUAAAAAUUUUAUUCAUUUAUUUUCAUUUUAAAAUUUUUUAAAAUUUUAUUUCUUUUUCAUUUAUUUCUGAUUUUUAAAAUUAAUUUUUUUUUUCAUUAUAUUAAAUGUUUUUAUUUUUUAUUAAUUAAAAAAACUGAUACCUCAUAUUUUUUUACCCAAAGAUGAACAGUAC
rnacentral:lncRNA from 1 species